AAAAAGACAAACUCUGGUUUCCGUGUCCAAUGUUUGACCGUCCGUCUUAUUUAAAAAAAUUAUGAAAAAAAUUAAAAAGAUAAGUCACGCAUAAAAUAUUAUCAUGUUUUAUCAUCUAACAACAAUGAAAAUACUAAUUAUUAAAAAAAUUCAUAUAAGACGGACAGUCAAACGUUGGCACGGAAAUCCAGGGUUUGCCUUUUU
rnacentral:pre_miRNA from 1 species